AUUAAGUCAAACGAUUCGGGUCUUUAAACCGAAUGACACCACCCACCAUUUUUGGCAAAUUCCAUAUCCCCCAAGAUGGAAUCCGGGAGAUUUCAAAGAAAGCUCCUAGUGGGUUAUGGGAGGCUCACUAUUACCAAGCCCACCUCACGAUGAUACGAUGUCGGCUAGCAAAAAUAAUAAUGAGAGGGUACAAUUACCCAUUCACAACAACCUCUUGUGAUUACCCAUCUUUUUGGCCUCUAGAAAAAUAAUGCCUCACGAUGAUACGAUGUUGGCAUUAUUUCUCUUAGUUAAGUUCUUUCCCACCAUGCCGGUUUAGCUAGGGGUUCAAGCAUGACCUCACGAUGAUACGAUGUUGGCCACACUCGUUGCCUACCUUAACCUCAU
rnacentral:lncRNA from 1 species